rnacentral:tRNA from 1 species
GCUGCUGUCUAUGGUAGAGUCCAAAAAGCCGAGUAAUUCAUGGAUAAUAGGUUCGAUUCCUAUCAGCGGCACCA